UUAAUUAGCCAUAUCACACUGCGCCUCAGAACCGGUUACUCACUGAAGCUAAGCAGGGCUGAACCUGGUCGGUACUUUAAUGGGAGACACAUGAGAAAACUAGGUUGCUGUUGGAA
rnacentral:rRNA from 1 species